rnacentral:rRNA from 1 species
AUACGGAGGGUGCAAACGUUGCUCGGAUUUACUGGGCGUAAAGGGAUCGCAGGCUGCCUAUUAAGUCUGAUGUGAAAGCCCGGGGCUCAACCUCGGAACUGCAUUGGAUACUGGUAGGCUAGAGUAUGUUAGAGGAAAGCGGAAUACCUGGUGUAGCGGUGAAAUGCGUUGAGAUCAGGCGGAACACCGGUGGCGAAGGCGGCCUUCUGGGGCAUUACUGACGCUGAGGAUCGAAAGCGUGGGGAUCAAACAGGAUUAGAUACCCCAGUAGUCC